rnacentral:rRNA from 1 species
UGGGGAAUAUUGCACAAUGGGCGCAAGCCUGAUGCAGCCAUGCCGCGUGUGUGAAGAAGGCCUUCGGGUUGUAAAGCACUUUCAGCGAGGAGGAAGGGUUCAGUGUUAAUAGCACUGUUCAUUGACGUUACUCGCAGAAGAAGCACCGGCUAACUCCGUGCCAGCAGCCGCGGUAAUACGGAGGGUGCAAGCGUUAAUCGGAAUUACUGGGCGUAAAGCGCACGCAGGCGGUUCGUUAAGUCAGAUGUGAAAUCCCCGCGCUUAACGUGGAACUGCAUUUGAAACUGGCAAGCUAGAGUCUUGUAGAGGGGGGUAGAAUUCCAGGUGUAGCGGUGAAAUGCGUAGAGAUCUGGAGGAAUACCGGUGG